GGUGAACGCUGGCGGCGUAGCCUAACACAUGCAAGUCGAACGUAGGAUACCUUCGGGUAUCUGAGAGUGGCGAACGGGUGAGUAACGACGUAGGUGAUCUACCCUCAAGAUUGGGACAACCCAGGGAAACUUGGGCUAAUACCGGAUGAAAGCAGCAGUGAUGUUGUUUGAAAGGUGGCGUAAGCUGCCGUUUGGGGAUGAGCCUGCGCUCUAUUAGUUAGUUGGCGGGGUAAAGGCCCACCAAGGCGAUGAUAGAUAGGCGGCCUUAACGGGUGGUCGCCCACACUGGGAUUGAGAUACGGCCCAGACUCCUACGGGAGGCAGCAGUCGAGAAUAGUCUACAAUGGCCGAAAGGCUGAUAGUGCGACGCCGCGUGAACGAAGAAGCCCUUCGGGGUGUAAAGUUCUUUUAUAUGUGAGCAGUGCUUUCUAUGUGAACAGCAUGGGGAGAGAGAUAUUAGCAUAUGAAUAAGCAACGGCUAACUCCGUG
rnacentral:rRNA from 1 species